UGGGGCGGUCGCCGCGCUCGCGUGUUUGCGGAGUGCGCCUGGAGGGGGCGCUGGAGUAUGUGUGUGCCGGGGCGGGGUGGCUUCCGGGCACGAGUUGCUGACAGCGCCUCGCGGUUGAUAAAUCCUGAGGGCGGCGGCUACCCUGCACUCCAUCGGUGCCUUUGGGAAGCGCCGCCUUCUCUGUUGUACCCGGCCGUGGGUCAGGUCGGCGCGGCUGGCGGUGGAGUCUCGGACACCGAGCCCUGGACCCCGACUCUGGAAGCCCCCAGCCCCACUGGGCCGCGGCAGGGCGCCCACCCUCCACAAUCUCAGUUCCCAGCCGGGGAGUGAGGGGCUGGGCGGGUCUCUCCACCGCUUUGGAGACCUCAGGACUUGGAUACGCUUUUGAGUGGUCCCAGUCGUCCUGAUCCACGAAGGCGUGGAGUGGAAGUCAGGACCAGGGGUCGCCCCAGUGACGCAGGAAGUCAAGCCCAGAUGCGGUGAGGCGUCGCCAGCCUUGGACCCAGCAGUGGGCGCUGGUGACAGUGGCGACCUCGCCGAUGAGAGGGUCUUGCUCUGCUGCUGACACUGGCCUUGAGCUGCUGGUCUCAAGCGAUCCUCCAGCCUCAGCCUCCUGAGUUGGGAUUACAGGCACAAGCCACAGUGCUCGACUUUUUAUUUAAUCUUGUUAGAAGACAAGACAGAAACAUGUCCGUUGUGAAAACAAGGUACAGUACGUGAUGUCAGGGUAAGAGUCAUGUCUGAAAGCAUUGUGGGGAUGAUAAGCAAUCACAGGGUCAUCUGCGUGGUGACAGGGUCACCACAAACUGGCGGUGUGACCUCAGGAGGUUACCUAGGGAGGUCCUUGGGUCUCAUGGGUCGUAAAAUGAGAGGAUUGAACUAAAUUAUCUUUAAGAUCUUUCCCAACGCUACAAUUCUAGUGGUCAUUUUUUUUUUUUUUAAGAGAGGGUCUGGCUCUGUUGACCAGGCUUAAAGUACAGUGGUGUGAUCUCUGGUCACUGCAACCUCUGCGUCCUUGACUCAAGCCAUCCUCCAACCUCAGCCUUCAGAGUAGCUGGGACCACAGGUGUGCACCACCAUGCCUGGCUAAUUUUUUUUAUUUUAAAAGAUGAGGGUUUCACUAUAUUGCCCAGGCUGGUGCUGAACUCCUGGGCUCAAGAGAUCCUUCCGCCUCGGCCUCCCAAAGUGCUGGGAUUACAGGUGUGAGCCACCACACCAGGGCAACUUUUAUUUUAAUUAAGUGAAAUAUUUUAGACAAAUGGAAGGUUUCAUAGAAAACAGAUGAAGAGCUGGGUGAGACAGCACACACCUGUAUUCUCAACUACUCAGGAAGCUGCGGGCAGAUCGAUUGACCCCAGGAGUUCAAGACCAUUCUGGGCAACAUAGCAAGACUCUAUCUCUGAAGACAAAACCAGCCAACCAACCAACCAACCAAUCAACCAACAAAAAAGAUCAAGCAGAGGUGCUCCAGAGGACGCAGCAAUAGAAUUCCGGAGCAAUGUCUGCUUGGCCUCGGUCUUCAUUCCCAUGGUGGCCCCUGAGUUCCGUGGAGCUCACUUCUACAUAGUUCCAUGUGUGACUUCAACAAAAUAAAAUGACGCAUUUAUUGGUUAAAAAUCAGAGAUUACCAUCAGAUAUGGAAAAUUGCUUUUACUUGGUAAUAACAAUCUUACGCACUUUUUACCAAACCCAUCGCAUUAAAUAACUAGCGUUUCAAAUUUUGACACUGCAUAAUAAACCCUCAUUUGAAAUGACUGGAGAAAUACUCAUCAAAUCUCAUGGAAGAAUGACAGAAUUUUCUCCAGAAUUUAUCGGAAAGGAAAAGAGGUUGGACUGUCAGGAAACGUUUUCAGGGUAACAUACUUACUAUUUUCUAGACAGUUACUCAGAUAACACUUGUACGCAGAGGGAAACACACCCCUGGGCUUUGCAAACACUUGUUUCCUGUGUGUCAGACUCGCCUGCAUCCUGUUUAUCAAAUGGAACGGAUAGUUAUUGAAAGCAAAGACCAGAACAACUUACCUCUUGUCAGUCACCUGCUUUUCUUUACUUGUCAUACUUUUAGCAUUUACAAAGUUUUAAAAAUGUGUUUAUCAUUUGGUAAUUAUUUUUAAACUUUAUUUGAAAAUAUAGACUGAGUUCUGAACAAAUUAUCCUUAAAUUUCUUCCUCUAGUAGUUACACUUUUCAGUAUCAGUGAAGUUUUAUGACGCCUCUAUUUUUCCUACCCACACAGCAUCUCAAGUUUGUCUUUACAGAAUAACUGGAAGUCCUAGCUUUAUCCUCUCUCUGCGUUUCUCUCUCACAGCCCCCUCCUCUUGGACUCUGCUCUUCCUCUCAGCACCGUAACCUUUUUAAUUUCCAGAUAGGUUUUGAAAACACCAUCUGUUCCCCUCUUAGGAUCCCUGGGGCAGAUGAUAGGUGAACCCCACAUCCCAGACACAUGGCCACCAAAGAUAUUCUUGCUUUUUUAAUGUUUAUCAAGUUCCUCCGCAGACAACAGAAAGUAAGUUUUAUUUAGGUAUUUAUGAAAGGUAACACGCAUCUUUAAAAAUAUGAUCAUGAUACAUUUCGAAUGAGAACUGUGUGUAAAACAUACAGGUCCUAUUGUUUCCCUCGUCGUUUUGUCUUUUCUUCAGCCAGAAAGUGAUCCGCUGCCAGCGACAGGGAGACACACAACUGGUCCUUAUUCUAAAGACCCGACCCAGCCUGGAAUGGGGCCCGGCGAGGAGUUCUUGCGCCGGCCGCGGGGACUGGGCGGUAAUGAGCCGCUAGUCUCGGAAGGUGGUGCUGUUGGGUGUGAGGGGAGAUCCGGCUUGCGCUGAAACAGCGAGCGGCGUGCAAGGAGGAAGCCGCGAUUUCCAAGGCGGAUUCCCUUCGCUGGGACACAACUCUUGAGAAUAAGACUUAUAAGGACUCUGAGAGUUUGAGGCAGAGGCAGAACGGCUCUGGGCUGAGUGAUGGGGAGGAUACCAGCACUCAGCGCGGGUGGCGGGCGCGGGGCCGAGCGCGCGCAUCCAGGGACGCCUUGGGGACGGGACGCGGAGAAAAGUUGCCGGGCGGAGAGAAAGGGUGGCGCUGGAAACCAAAUGGCUUUCAUCCCCUGGAGACAAAGAGGUGCCUUCUUUUGACAACAGCUGCCAGUGACACACACACCAUACGGCGGGGCCGGCGGGGGAGGGGAGCCCGGGAGGAGAGCGUCUAAGGCGGGGACCGGCACUGACUUUCAAUAAUGGGGUGGUUGCCAUGGUGACGGGCCAGGCAUCUAAAGGGGCGGCUGAAAGCACCCAUUGUUCUGGGGCCCGGCUGCUCGGGUUGUGCCUGUUCCUAAGAGACACCUUUAGACACCUCCCUCCGUGCAGGGGCGAGCUGCGGCCCGGGGCUGGGAGCGUCUCCGCGGGAGUUUCACACCAGGGCCCCAGGCCGCAGAUCGCAGCGCCGCCUUGGCUGCACGCGCGCUGCAUACGGAGGGCAGCGCCGCCUCCCACGCACUAUCCGCCCGAAAUCCGAGCGCGACGCGCGCCCGCCUGGGCCCAGACGCGCAGGCCGGGACACGCAGCUCCGCCUGCUCCCCGCUGUCCCGGGGAGACUUCGAAUAACAAUGCGGAGCAGGACCCGGUGACUCCACAAAUAACUCGCUGAGGUCUGGGGCGAGGGCACUCGGGAAAACCCCGCAGUCACUUUGCAGUCGUGCUGGAAGGAAAAGCAGAACGGAAUCACAGGAUAAAGAAGAUUAAAAGUAACAGGGCAGCGUUGCAAUGUUGCUUGUAAGAGCAAGCAGCUGGAAACAACCUAAAAGCCCGUCCCUGGGGGCUGGGUGAAUGAUAUGGGGCGCAUCCCUCUGAGGGAACACUAAGCUGCCAUUAAAGAGUACAGGGCAGCUGUAUUUGCUGAGACGUGGAAAUUUUCCGGUGUAUUCUAAGUAAUAAAGUGCAGAAGAGUGUGAGUAGGGCUGUGUGUAUGUGGUAUGUGUGUUUGCAUCUCUGGAAGUGGUUGCUUCUUAGGAUGGUCACUGUGGGACUAGGAGUGGAGGAGAGAAAGAAAACUUGCUUUUCACCGUACUAGAAUCUUCUGCACCUUUUGAAUUUUGCCGUUUAUACUAUGUCUUUACCUGUAAAGAAAAAAGAACUUUGAAAUAAAGUUGCAUUUGCUUGAACACUGUCUAAUGAGAUGUGCCACUCUCCAUAAAGCAUCUGAA
rnacentral:lncRNA from 1 species